GAUGAACGCUGGCGGUAUGCCUAAUACAUGCAAGUCGAACGAACAGACGAGGGGCAUGCUCCUCUGACGUUGGAGGCGGACGGAAGAGUAACACGUGGACAACAUAACUACAAGACUGGGUUACCAUCGCCGAACCGGAGCUAAGACAGGAGAAUAUAUUGAAGAGCAUGGGUCAAUAGUGGAUGACGGUUUUGCUGACGCUAAUAGAUGGCAACGCGACGCAUUAGAGAUGUGGUAAGGUAACAGCCUACCAAGGCAACGAUGCGUAACCGACCUGAGAGGGUGAUGUGCCAGAUCGGAACUGAGACCCGGCCCAGAUUCCUCCGGGAGGCAGCAGUAGGGAAUCUUCCGCGAUGGACUAAAGCCUGACGGGGAAACGCCGAGUGAGUGAUGAAGGACUUCGGAUCGUAAAACGCUGUUAUUAGGGAAGAACAAAUGUGUAAGUAACUAUGCACGUCUUGACGGUACCUAAUCAGACAGCCACGGCUAGCUACGUG
rnacentral:rRNA from 1 species